AAGUCGUAACAAGGUUUCCGUAGGUGAACCUGCGGAAGGAUCAUUAUUGAAUUAAAAUCUGGCUUGGUUGUUGCUGGUCUUUUGUGAGACAUGUGCACGCCUCGUCAUUUUUAUAUUACCACCUGUGCACCUUUUGUAGACUUGAACAACAUUUUUUCCGAGGUAACUCGGUCGUGAGGAAUUGCUUAUAAAAUGGCUCUCCUUGAAUGUUAUUCAAGCCUAUGUUUUCAUAUACACCAUAAGCAUGUAAUAGAAUGUAAUUAUUAGACUUUAAUGUCUUAUAAACUUUAUACAACUUUCAGCAACGGAUCUCUUGGCUCUC
rnacentral:misc_RNA from 1 species